CUUUCUUCAUUACUUCAAGUUGGAAAUAGGAGGAACGUCCCCUCAUGAGAUGAUGGACGUAUUCUCUUCUCCUAAUGGUUAGUAUACUAUCAUCUCAUAGUUUUCACCAAACUAUAAAACAAACCCAAAAUUAAUUAGUACUAUAAAAAAUCAUCCCACCAAUCAAAUUGAAAGGUUAAAGAAUUAAAACAUGUUUCAAUAAAAUA
rnacentral:lncRNA from 1 species